UCUCCACACACCUCCACCUCACCUUUCUCCGGCUCAACCGCGCUACCAUGACUUUCCCCAUGGCCACCUCCACCGCCUCCACGGCCGCCGCCGCUUCCCUCCGCCUUCUCCCGGUGCCAGCCACCCCAUCCUCCCGCACUCUCCGCUUCUCGCCCAUCCUCCGCCGCGCGCCCCGCGCCCUCUUAUCCGUCUCCGCCCUCAGCAAGCUCUCCGAGGCGCCCCCCGUCCCCAUCCCGCAGGAGGCCACCCAGACUUUGCCCGGCGAGGACGCGCUUCCCCCUAGGCCCGGGGUCUACGGCGUCUUCGACCCCGCCGGGGACCUGCAGUUUCUCGGGAUCUCGCGCAACGUCAGGGCCAGCGUCGAGGGGCACCGCAGAAAGGUGCCCGCUGACCUCUGCGCCUCCGUCAAGGUUGCAAUACCAGACGAGGAAACACCAGAUAAAAGUGUCCUGACUAAUGCCUGGAAAUCAUGGAUGGAAGAAUACAUAGCAGCCACUGGCAAGGCACCACCAGGGAACGUUGCCGGGAACCACACCUGGAUCGGUCCUCCACAGAGACCUGCAGAUUUGCGUUUGACUCCUGGUCGCCAUGUUCAGCUAACUGUGCCACUUGAACAGUUGAUUGAUCGGUUAGUGAAGGAAAAUAAAGUGGUUGCCUUCAUCAAAGGAUCAAGAAGUGCUCCCCAGUGUGGGUUCUCGCAAAGAGUGGUGGGGAUCCUGGAGGCACAUGGAGUGGAUUUUGCAUCCGUAGAUAUUCUUGAUGAGGAGCACAACCAUGGGUUGAGAGAGACCCUCAAGACCUACAGCAACUGGCCAACCUUCCCACAGGUUUUUGUUGGAGGAGAACUUGUGGGCGGAUGUGAUAUUAUUUCAUCCAUGGCUGAAAAGGGGGAGCUUGCUGCCCUAUUUCAGAAAUAGCACUCUCACCUUGGAGUUUAAGUAAUGUCUUGUUUUAUCAGGUGCAAAAUGUGACCUUAUCUCUUGUACUGUUGCAAUAAUGCUUAGCUUAUUGUAAGGCACAAAGUUCUUGGCUCAGAAACACGUUGAUUCAAUUUAGAUGAGGCAGCGUUGUACUGUGAAACUUGCUGGUUGUUUUUGAGAGAGGGCUUAGCAAAGGUGGCUGUGUGUAUUUUUGUGGUCGUUUCACAUCUUGCACAUGAAUACAUUGUAGCUACAUGAGAAAGUAUGUGAUGCAUGAAGUGAGAAAAUCGUUGGAUUGAGUUCUAAGGUUCAACUCAGAAAAGUAAAAUUGUGAAUGAAACUUGGAAUAUUUUUCUAGGUUCACUUUACAACUAGCUGAUAACUGAGAUGUUUCCUGUUGCCUCAGUACUUCCUUUAUUUUUCUUCUUUCAAAUUAGAAGAAAACAAAGCUAUUUGCACUUCAAGUGUCAGUUGAUUUAUUGUCACUGUGCUCAAGAGUGUUCACCAUGUUACCGAAGUGUUUGGAUCUGUACAAUGAGGAGUCAAGAGAGUAGCCUUGUAGAUUUCUGGAACAGAUUUAUUUUCUGUUAAUGAACUUUACUAUUGGAAUAAGUAACAGAAGAGAAGCAGCAAGCUUUCCUGUACCAUAUGUUGGCUGGUUAUCUGUAUAACUCUACCAGAAGCAAAUAUAGCAGGUAAGCUCAACACUUGAUGCAGAUUAUCUGAAUAUUAAAGAGAAGAUAUGGCAAUCAAUCUUUACUAGUUUAGGGAAGUUUCUACUGGAGGCAAGAUAUCUUCCAAGCAUGAUUUAUUCAAUUAAUUCCAGAAUCAGGGUAAGCAAUGACUCAACCUGUAUCUUUUUGAUUCAGUUCUGAGCACUCCUGUUUUAACUUAAAUCAGAAUGGGUUCUCUACUGUUGCAUUUUUGCCUUACUUUCUGCCAUUACUAAAGAGUGUUUUUUCCUCCAGCAGAAGCCAUCAUAAAUUUGCUGGGCCUUAUGGUUAGGAGUUGGACGGAUCGAUGUCAUCCACAAUCACCAGGAAACUUCUGAUGUCAUGUUGCAGCAGACUGGCCAGUCAUGCUGUGAGGACGAGCACUCUGUGCUGAAUGCCCUCUUUGCAAGCCUUUUCCACUUCAAGGAAAUUGAUGGGAUUUUGGGCCUUUAGGCUAAUCCUCGGUUGCGUAUGGGGGUUUCUCUUGUGUUUCUCAAUUUAAGAUUGGAUCCCUGGAGGAGAUAUACGCACCGACAGAAAGGAGCAACUGGAACUACAAGUACAGAAAACCUCUCACACACCAAGAGAAGAUAGAUAUAUUCGACAAAGGAAGAAGUUGGAUUGCCAAUAUAGUUUCUUUCCAUUCCAGAGAUGGAUUGGUCGGUCUGGAAGAGCCAAUGGCGACCAACCAUAGAGGCCCAAGAAUAUGCUCUUGUGCUUACAGGCACGUCUUCUUGUCCAUCUUUUAGGGGAGGAUGGCCCGGUUUGGCUAGUGAAGAAACCAUCGUGUUCCAUGCACAAACGGCAAAUGCCGGCCGUGCCUAUCCCGAAUUCAUGAUCUUCUCUGUUGCUUCUCUG
rnacentral:rRNA from 1 species